rnacentral:rRNA from 1 species
UACGUAGGGGGCAAGCGUUAUCCGGAAUUACUGGGUGUAAAGGGAGCGUAGACGGUUUAGUAAGUCUGGAGUGAAAGGCGGGGGCCCAACCCCCGGACUGCUCUGGAAACUAUUAAACUUGAGUGCAGGAGAGGUAAGCGGAAUUCCUAGUGUAGCGGUGAAAUGCGUAGAUAUUAGGAGGAACACCAGUGGCGAAGGCGGCUUACUGGACUGUAACUGACGUUGAGGCUCGAAAGCGUGGGGAGCAAACAGG